AUUGAACGCUGGCGGCAGGCCUAACACAUGCAAGUCGAGCGAGCGGCGGACGGGUGAGUAAUGUAUGGGGACUGCCCGAUAGAGGGGGAUAACUACUGGAAACGGUGGCUAAUACCGCAUACUAUCGGAUAACCCAUAUGGGAUUGGCUAGUAGGUGGGGUAAAGGCUCACCUAGGCGACGAUCUCUAGCUGGUCUGCGAGGAUGAUCAGCAACACUGGGACUGAGACAGGGCCCAGACUCCUAGGGAGGAAGCAGUGGGGAAUAUUGCACAAUGGGCGCAAGCCUGAUGCAGCCAUGCCGGGUGUAUGAAGAGGGCCUUGGGGUUGUAAAGUACUUUCAGCGGGGAGGCGUUACCCGAGGAAGAAGCACCGGCUAACUCCGUGCAAGCAGCGGCGGUAAUC
rnacentral:rRNA from 1 species